UAAGGAAUAUUGCUCAAUGGGAGAAAUCCUGAAGCAGCAACGCCGCAUGGAGGAUGAAGGGUCUAUGACUUGUAAACUCCUGUAAAGAAGGAAAAAAUUCCCAUUUGAUGGGAGAUGGUGGUACUUCUGGAGUAAGCCCCGGCUAACUACGUGCCAGCAGCCGCGGUAAUACGUAGGGGGCAAGCGUUGUCCGGAUUUACUGGGUGUAAAGGGUGCUCAGGCGGAUUUGUAAGUCAGAGGUGAAAUCUUACAGCUUAACUGUGAAACUGCCUUUGAUACUGCAAGCCUAGAGUAUGGAAGAGAGUGAUGGAAUAUCUGGUGUAGCAGUGAAAUGCGUAGAUAUCAGAUAGAACACCAAUGGCGAAGGCAGUCACUUGGUCCAUUACUGACGCUAAAGCACGAAAGCGUGGGUAGCAAAC
rnacentral:rRNA from 1 species